rnacentral:rRNA from 1 species
AGAAUCAACGCCGGCGGCGUGCCUAACACAUGCAAGUCGAACGAGAAAGUGGUAGCAAUACCAUGAGUAAAGUGGCGCACGGGUGAGUAACACGUGACUAACCUACCCUUGAGUGGGGAAUAACCUCGGGAAACCGGGGCUAAUACCGCAUAACACCUACGGGUCAAAGGAGCAAUUCGCUUAAGGAGGGGUCGCGGCAGAUUAGUUAGUUGGCGGGGUAAUGGCCCACCAAGACGGUGAUCUGUAUCC